rnacentral:siRNA from 1 species
GGCAAAACUGUCAACAUGUGCAAC